rnacentral:misc_RNA from 1 species
CGGUUCUGGCAUNGAUGAAGAACGCAGCGAAAUGCGAUAAGUAAUGUGAAUUGCAGAAUUCAGUGAACCAUCGAGUUUUUGAACGCAUAUUGCGCCCGCCGGCACUCCGGCGGGCACACCUGUUCGAGCGUCAUUUCAAACCUCAAGCACCGCUUGGUAUUGGGCGGACGCCCCCUCGAAGGGGCGCGCUCGGAACUCGUCGGCGGCACGGCUUAAGCACCCGAGGCGGGAGGAGCAGGCUGUAAAAGCGUCUCCCGCGCCCCGUGCCCGCGCCCGCCGGUAAACGGCCCCAGCAAGUUUGACCUCGGAUCAGGUGGGAAUACCCGCUGA